rnacentral:tRNA from 1 species
GGCAGUGUGGGCUAGUGGACAGAGCACUGGAUUGGUACUCAGGAGACCUGGGUUCUAUUCCCAGCUCUUCCA